AAAAGCAUGAAAAUUCAAUAUAUUGCAGGAGCUGCGUAGGCCU
rfam:Trichuris trichiura, WGS project CBXK01000000 data, contig: TTRE_1667